ACCGGAGCUAAUACCGGAUAAUAUAUUGAACCGCAUGGUUCAAUAGUGAAAGACGGUUUUGCUGUCACUUAUAGAUGGAUCCGCGCCGCAUUAGCUAGUUGGUAAGGUAACGGCUUACCAAGGCAACGAUGCGUAGCCGACAUGAGAGGGUGAUCGGCCACACUGGAACUGAGACACGGUCCGG
rnacentral:rRNA from 1 species